rnacentral:lncRNA from 1 species
GCUACUUGGGUUCUUGUAGUUUACGUACAUAAGUACAAUGCUGAAACAGUUCAACAUGAAGAAUUUCAAGAAACGCUAUCCUUCGAUAGGUCAUAAAAUUUCUCUCUUGAAAAAUUAUCCGACAACUCCUCAAAAGAGAAAGUGUAUGAAUAGAAUCCCAUAUACCUCGGUAGUGAUUCUAUAAUGUAUGCUAUGAUAUGUAUG